rnacentral:misc_RNA from 1 species
AGGUGAGUCAUCGAAUCUUUGAACGCAUAUUGCGCCCUCUGGCAUUCCGGGGGGCAUGCCUGUCCGAGCGUCAUUAUUUAUCUUCAAGCACGGCUUGUGUGUUGAGCAUUCUGGUUCUUCCAGAGGCUUGAAAUGCAGUGGCGUUGCCAAGAUUUGGGUGCCCGAGCGUAUGGGGCUUUGUCGCACGCUCUGAUGGCUCCCAGCUUGCAUACUGCCCCAACUUUCAUAUGAUUUUUUGUUUAAUUGACCUCGGAUCAGGUAGGAAUACCCGCUGAACUUAAGCAUAUCAAUAAGCGGAGG